UUGAGGGGAAUGUUGUCUGGCUCGAGGCCACUAUAGUAUUCAGAUCUCUUCUCUUCUUCUUGGCCGGGUUCUUUUAUCCGAUUAGUGACGUCGGACCAGGCUUCAUUCCCCCCAA
rnacentral:pre_miRNA from 1 species